rnacentral:pre_miRNA from 1 species
AGCAGAAUUAUUGAGUCAUAUGGUAAUUCUAUAUUUAAUUUAUUAAAGAACUACCAAAUUGUUUUCCACAGUAGCUACACCACUUACUUUCUUACCAGCAAU